GACAGAGGAUGCAAGCGUUAUCCAGAAUGAUUGGGCGUAAAGCGUCUGUAGGUGGCUUUUAAGUCUGCCGUCAAAUCCCAGGGCUUAACCCUGGACAGGCGGUGGAAACUACCAAGCUGGAGUACGGUAGGGGCAGAGGGAAUUUCCGGGUGGAGCGGUGAAAGUGCGUAGAGAUCGGAAAGAACACCAACGGCGGAAAGCACUCUGCUGGGCCGAACACUGACACUGAGAGACGAAAGCUAGGGGAGCAAUGGG
rnacentral:rRNA from 1 species